rnacentral:rRNA from 1 species
GACGAACGCUGGCGGCGUGCUUAACACAUGCAAGUCGAACGGUGAAGCGCCUUCCUUUUUGGUGGGUGUGGAUGAGUGGCGAACGGGUGAGUAACACGUGAGUAACCUGCCCCCUUCUUCUGGAUAACCGCAUGAAAGUGUGGCUAAUACGGGAUAUUCUGGGUCUGUCGCAUGAUGGGUCUGGGAAAGAUAUUGUUUCGGUGGGGGAUGGGCUCGCGGCCUAUCAGCUUGUUGGUGGGGUGAUGGCCUACCAAGGCGGUGACGGGUAGCCGGCCUGAGAGGGUGGACGGUCACACUGGGACUGAGACACGGACCAGAAUCCUACGGGAGGCAGCAGUGGGGAAUAUUGCACAAUGGGCGCAAGCCUGAUGCAGCGACGCCGCGUGAGGGAUGGAGGCCUUCGGGUUGUGAACCUCUUUCGCCAGUGAAGCAGGCCUGCCUCGUUUGUGGGUGGGUUGACGGUAGCUGGAUAAGAAGCGCCGGCUAACUACGU